CCUCCAGUCGCCGCUGCCACCUGGGGCCGGAGUCUGCGCUGGGAGCCGCCGUCCUGCUGAGGCACGGCCCGGCUGUCCUGGUUGUUUUAUGCAUUGUAGGAUAUUUAGCAGCAAUCCUGGCCUCAACCUACCAGAUGCCAGUAGCACCUGCCGGCUGUAACAAUCAAAGAUGUUUCUGGAGGAACAAUUUGGCUUUCAGGAAGAGCAAAUAGUUGGACGUCCCCUGGGGGAGGCAGAAUCGACUUUAGCUGAGAAUCACUGUUCUUAGCAUUCAGGAUAAUAUGUCAAUUAGAUAUUUUAGCUAUUGAGAGAAGGACUGGAACUCCAUGGACUGGACCUGUUUCCUGCAGAGUUUAAAGUCUCCACCUAGUUCCUAGAAAACAAAGGAGUUUUACUAGAGAUCACUUGGGGGUAAAGGUAGUAUUGUCAAGCAGAGUCAAGAGCUGUUGAAGUCUAAUCUCAGGGCAGGGGCCUGCAAUUCUGUAUCAAGCAAACUAGGUGGUCCCUGUGGAGGCACCCUGGCUCCAGCACUGCUGCUUUUGGUUCCUGUCAGGAGCUAUUUGAUUCCAGGGGGUUGUAGAUUUCUCCCUUGAGUUCUAACUCAUAUUCACAACUACCUACUUAAAGAUCAAGUAGGCAUCUCAAACUUACCACCACAAAACCAAACUCUUCAUUCUCCUCCCACCAUCCAAACCUAAUUCUUCCUCAUCUUAAUGAAUGGACCCUCUAAUGCCCCAGUUGCUCAGUCCAAAAAGCCUAGAUGUCACUCUCUUAUACCCUACAUCUAAGCCAUCAGCAAAUCCUGUUGGCCCUACUUUCAAAAUAUUGACAGAGACGGACAACUCCCACUCCCUCCAAGGCUUCAGGUCCAAUCCACCAUCUUCUCCCUAGACUUUGUCAGCUGUCUCCCUGCUUCUACUCUUUCCUCUGCAUACUCUCUUCUCUAUCCAAGAACCAGAUAAUCUUUUAAAAAUAUAGCUAAGAUGAUUUUACAUGUUGUUUGGAACUUUCCAAAGGUUUCUCCUCUCAGAAUAACAAAGUCCUUUCAUACCUGACAGUUCUUCCUGAUCAUGCCAGGCACGCUCCCAGUUUUGUUUUCAGCUCCUGUUGUUCUCCUUGCCUAGAAGCUACUUUCUCAAGCCCUUUACACAACUUUCUCCUUCUCUUCAUGUGAGUUCCUGUUUUGAGAGACCUUCUCUAACUAUCUGUCAUGUUUUUAAAACAUAUCUGCAAAUUCUUUGACACUCUUUUCACCAAGAGUUAGAGUCCAGUUCCUCUCCUCUUGAAACUGACCAAAGUGACUCACUUCUAACAAAUUAAAUGUGAAGGCAGUGAUGCUUAGUCAUAAGAGGUGAUAGGUGGGAUGCUUGCCCUUGGAACAGAGCUGCAAUGCUGGGAGGAACCUCCACCACAUUGACAGGCUGCACAGAGGUAUUCCAGCAAUAGUCCUCACUGUGGUCAUAGUGGACACCUAGCACCAACCAUCAGUCAGAAAAGCAAUGCCAGAUCUGGUCUCCUUUCUUUCCUUUCCAUAUCUUUGAGGAAUUGCCACACUAUUUUCCAUAAUGGUUGAACUAAUUCACACUCCCACCGACAGUGUAUAAGUGUUUAUUUUUCUCCACAACCUUGCCACACCUGUUAUUUUUUGACUCUUUAUUAAUAGCCAUUCUGACUGGUGUUAGAUGGUAUCUUAUUGUGGUUUUGAUUUGCACUUCUCUAGUAAUCAGUGAUGUUAAGCUUUUUUUUUAUAUGAUUGUCGUCCACAUGUAUGUCUUCUUUUGAAAAAUGUCUGUUCAUGUCCAUUGCCCAUUUUUUAAUUUUUUUUUCUUGUACAUUUAAGUUCUUUAUAGAUGUUGGCUAUUAGACCUUUGUUGGAUGUAUAGUUUGCAUUUCUUUUCCCCAGUCUGUGUUCUUGGCACCUUUGUCAAAAAUGAGUUCACUGUAGAUGUGUAGAUUUGUUACUGGGGUCUCUAUUCUGUUCCAUUGGUCUAUGUGUCUGUUUUUAUACCAGUACCAGGCUGUUUUGGUUACUAUAGCUCUGUAGUAUACUUUGAAGUCAGGUCAGGCUGCCCCUCCAUGUGGAUGCCUUCCCCAGCACACUUGGAAUCUGACUUGGAGCCACCAUGACUCUCUUGUCCACCUUAAUGUGUGGCUACCACAUGGCUGCAACCCACCUAAUGGCUUUAGUAUUCAGAAAAGGAGGGAAAAUGAAAGAAUAAAAAAGGAAAAUGAAUAGUGCUUUUAGACAUGCUGCCCAAUCAACUGACGAAUUGACAAUUUUUUAUUCAGUGUUCAUUGCAUUAAGACAAUUGGGAGGUGAAGAUGGAAUGCAAGACGUAUAAGAAAACAUGUUUCCUGUGUUCCAGAAAUGUCAGGGGAGAUGUGGUAAAAAUAAUAAAUCAUAACUAAUAAUAUGAUAAGUGCUUCGUUGAGUGUUACAAAAAAUAUGUUCUUCAAAGAAGGCAGAAUGAAACUAUGAAUAUUUUCUCCAAACAAUGGGCAAAGUCACAGCAGAUUAACUCUCACCUAUGUUAAUAAUCAAAUUGGAAUUCUGACAAAGGCCCCACACCAACAGUGAUUACAAUGAUAAAAAAUGUUUAUUUGCUGGUUUUCAGUCAUUCAGUUCUAUAGAUUUCUCUUUAGUGUGCAGGAUGGCAUCAGAUAAUAUUUUUGUAAAGGGGAUUUUAUCACUUCGCUUAAUAUAAAACUUAUAGAAUAUUACAAAUAAAACGUGAUAUAAAUGU
rnacentral:lncRNA from 1 species